rnacentral:rRNA from 1 species
GAUGAACGCUAGCUACAGGCUUUACACAUGCAAGUCGAGGGGCAACGAUGGCAGAGCUUUCUCUCUUAGGCGUCGACCGGCGCACGGGUGAGUAACGCGUAUCCAACCUACCCAUUACGGGCGGCUAACCUUGCAAAAGUACGACUAAUACCCCAUGGCUUUUUGUGGUGGCCUCAUUAUAGGAUUAAAGUUUUAUUGGUAAUGGAUGGGGAUGCGUCUGAUUAGCUUGUUGGCUGGGUAACGGCCCACCAAGGCAACGAUCAGUAGGGGAUCUGAGAGGAAGGUCCCCCAGAUUGGAACUGCGACACGGUCUAAACCGCUACGGAGGGGAGGAGUGAGGAAGAUUAGGCAAGGGGCGAGAGCUUGAACCAGCCAAGUAGCGUGCAGGAGGACGGCGCUAGGGGUUGUAAUCUGUUUGUAAAGGGGAACUCUGUGAGCUACGUGUAGUUUAAUGCAGGUACCCGAUGAAUAAGGACCGGCUAAUUCCGUG